rnacentral:rRNA from 1 species
CUACGGGGGGCUGCAGUGGGGAAUAUUGGACAAUGGACCAAAAGUCUGAUCCAGCAAUUCUGUGUGCACGAUGACGGUUUUCGGAUUGUAAAGUGCUUUCAACAGGGAAGAAGUUCUGACGGUACCUGUAGAAGAAGCGACGGCUAAAUACGUGCCAGCAGCCGCGGUAAUACGUAUGUCGCAAGCGUUAUCCGGAUUUAUUGGGCAUAAAGGGCAUCUAGGCGGCUUAGUAAGUCUGAUGUGAAAAUGCGGGGCUCAACUCCGUAUUGCGUUGGAAACUACUAAGCUAGAGUAUUGGAGAGGUAGGCGGAAAUACAUGUGUAGAGGUGAAAUUCGUAGAUAUAUGUAGGAAUGCCGAUGACGAAGGUAGCUUACUGGACAAUUACUGACGCUGAAGUGCGAAAGCUAGGGGAGCAAACAGGAUUAGAUACCCCUGUAGUC